UAUAAUCUAAGUACACCAAGUUCUCAAGCAAAAAAUAUAGGUUAUGUUUCCCAGAAAUCAAAUAUAGUUACAAGAGAAAACUUACGAAAAUUUUUAACAGAGGCCCGUGAUUAAUGUACCUAAUGUCAAAGGUAUAUUUUUUAUUCGAAGUUGUAGGAGUAUGCGGAAUAGAAGAAUUUGAACAAUUUUCUUGUAUCUACAUAACCUAUAAUAAGCUUUUAUUAUUAUUACAGAACAGAUUAUUAGCUUACAUGCCCAUUUUAAAUGAAAAAAGAUCUGCAGCAAUUGCAAAAUAUAGAUGGAUAGCUAUAAUAACAAGAAGUUUACAUGCAUUCGACCGAACUUGCAAAAACUGGCAGAUAAUAUAUCAAAUUUAUUAUCCAAAAACUCAGCCACAGUUUAUGAAAAGCGGUAUGAAAAAUUUUUUUUUGGCGCAGAAACAACCAUGCAAAAUAUAUAGAGAACACCUCAUUGCAUACAAGUAUUUCGCUGAAAAAGCAAAUUCUGUGAAAUCUUUAACACUUUGGGCUGCAUAGUCGUAGUUAAAGUCAAUUCUGUUAAUAAAAAACAGCAUAGAUAUAUCUAAGUACACCAAGUUUUCAAGCAAAAAAUAUAGGUUACGUUGCCAAGAAAUCAAAUAUAUUUACAAGAGAAGACUUAGCAAAAUUUUUACCAGAAGCCCGUGAUUAAAUGUACCUGAUGUUAAAGGUUUAUUUUUUAUUACAAGUUGUAGGAGCAUGUGGAAUGGAUAAAUUGAGAAAUAAUGACGGCACUCAAGACAAAAACGAUACGCUAAUAAUUAAAAUUCCUACGUCUAAAACUGGCAAAGCACGAGAAUUUACAAAUAUGUGUAAAAAUAUUUAUCCAAUUGAAAUAUAGUAAAAAUACCUAAUUUUAAGACCGCACCAUACACCAGACAAAUCAUUAUUUAUUCAUUACAUUUGGAUAGUGAAUGCAGCAGCUGCUGCAUUGUACAAAUAUACCUGCAAACACACUGUAACAAAUUAUGCAGACACCUCUUUUGACUAAAAGAUAUAUAUUUAACUUUAUCCAUACGUUGUCAACUUUGUUAAUAAUUG